rnacentral:lncRNA from 1 species
ACAGACAGACAGACAGACAGAGAGAGAGAGAGGGAAAGAGAGAGAGAGAGAGAGAUCUAGAAAGCAUUCAAGUUUGACAAAUGGCGAUCGACACCUCGCGAGAAGAGUACACAGUUAUUAUAUUUGAAUCGUGCAUGCAGCGGAUAUCACGACGAGGAUAUCACGACGACCUCAUUUCCGUCCACUUGGAAUCGUAACGUCGCAAUAUAUUGUAUCGAGAACGAUACAGGAAAGGGUUAUUUUUCGUUCUAUUCGUAAUUAAAACCUUUCUUCAUCGUCCAUUUCGAUUCGAGGAACACGUUGACGUUGAUAGCUUUUUGAAAUCGAGAUUUUUUUUUGAGAGAGAGAUAAUGUAUCUUGCGAAUUCUUCUUUGCUCGUCGCAACAUUUUAACAGAUUUUUCUGACGCGUGUAUAAAGAAGGUUUUGAUUACGUUAUCAUUCGAAGAAUUAUACUUAUUAUCUUUGUACGAUAACAACAGAUAACAGUAUAUCUGAGAAUAUACGGUGAAUCACGGUGAAAUUUUUCUUCGAUUCUUUAUAAUUUUUGUUAAAUGUGGGAUUAUUAUUCUUAAUAAUUAGGGAGUGGUUCUCUCUCUCUCUUUUUUUUUUUUUAGGUUCAAAGGAAUGCGUGUAAGAAACGGGGAAAGUUAUUGCGAAGAGAAAAGUUAGUCGACUGACUUCUCAGGCAGGAACAUCAAUCUGGAUUUAUACUUAUGGUAGACACUGCUAGAAACCAUCCAACCUGCCCAAUUCUUCGGGACACACACACAUCUCAUCGUUUAUACUUGCUUGUGCAACGAGAUCGCGACGCGUAAACCCUUCAUACCGAUCCAGAGCCCGCUAACACAACGAUAACCUCGGCCGAGGAUUAGCCAAGUGUCCCCUCAAUUAUGGAAAUUGUUUUUACUCGAGCGGAAAACGCUUGCGGUUACGAGCGGCCGUUAGACGAACGGCUCCAUACAGUUGAACACCGAGGAGGGGAGAAAAAGAAGGAGAAAGAGGGGGAGAGAAAAAGGGAAAGUGCGUGUGUUACAUUUCCUCUCUAAUGGAAAUUGUCCGAUUUGCAAAUCGUCGGUCUGGCUAACUGGUUGGUAGAGCAGGUGAUCGUGAAAAACGCACCUUCGAGUCGUUUUAUCGUGGGAGGAGGGAGGGGGAUAUUAAAGAAAAAUAUUUGCGAAUAACCAACGACGAUCCUUUCAUCGAUGGAUCUCUGACUGAUGGUUCUUUUGUGGCCGGGGUUACGAGGACUUUGAUGACGAUCUUUUGGAAGGGAUUUUUUUUUUGAAAUUAUUCGUCGAGUAAUAGAGCGAGGAAAGAGUAUCAUUGAAUGUAUACCGAGAUAUAAUGGAAAAGAAAUAGAGUGGAAGAUGAAUUUUAUUGGAAUGAGAAAUUUUAUAUUGGAUGGAGGUGAAAAUCUUUGGGAGAUUGGAAAGUCACUUUUUUCACGAGCUCUGCACUUAUCACGUGUUCCGUUUUAUUUGCGAACAUUAAUAGUAAAAUAUUGAGAAAACAAUUUUAUGUGGAUAAGAACGUGGGUAUAUAUUUGAAAAAAGGAACGAAUGAAUUUGUACAAAUAAUUAUAUAAUAGCAUCGAUAACGACGUGAAAUCUUGACAGCACGCAUGGUACAAAUUCUAACAAUCUUGCUGCAAACUCAACUCUUUUCGAAAGAUAGAUUGGAACGGAGCCACAUAAAAUGUUCGUGUCAAAGUCCCGGAAUAAGAUAUCCUCCGCAGCGUUGCACGAUGAUGAGAGAAUUAGGCGGAGCGAGCAAAGUAUCCCUCUUGUCCCCAACGCCUGUCCCAAAGGAGACCUCGGUAACGCAUAGUACAUGGUGGAACAGAACAGGUAGUUAGUCCGACCUCGUGUUUAAUACCGUGUUCACACAUUGGCCACAGCUAUAUACCGCUAAACAAAGCAAUAUGUAUCCACCUGAAUUGGCGAGAAUGGCUGAUGAACAAUUGAGACGUAACUAGAGGAGAGGCGAAUAUAUGAAAAUAAUGGCAAGCGAAACUUUUAAUUCGAUCAAAAGAAUCUUUUUGAUGGAAAGAUAU